rnacentral:rRNA from 1 species
UGUUCCUACGGGAGGCAGCAGUAGGGAAUUUUCGUCAAUGGGCGCAAGCCUGAACGAGCAAUGCCGCGUGAACGAGGAAGGUCUUCGGAUCGUAAAGUUCUGUUGAAGGGGAAAAAGAGCGGAGAGAGGAAAUGAACUCCGAUUGAUAUUACCCUUCGAGGAAGCCCCGGCUAACUACGUGCCAGCAGCCGCGGUAAUACGUAGGGGGCGAGCGUUAUCCGGAAUUACUGGGUGUAAAGGGAGCGUAGACGGCGAGGUAAGCCUGAAGUGGAAGCCCGCGGCCCAACCGCGGAACUGCUUUGGGA